rnacentral:lncRNA from 1 species
AUGGAAAGUUGUUUCCAGAGGUCACUGAGAUCCCAAUGCUUUGAGGGUUGCCGUGGAAAUCAUCCAGACCAACUUGAAAUAGUAACAAAGCAUGAACCUGCGGCAGGGAUUCUCGGAGAUUCUCGGAAAGGAGACCAGGACGAAGGCCAAGCUUUAAUCAGCCUUUUAGAGGCAGAAGGAGAUCGUCCCUGCUCAAUGAUGACUGUCACCCUUAAGGACAGCUAUCCGUCCCACUCGGACCCCACUCUCCGCCACAGAGAAUUCCAUGUGAAGUCCUUCAGAGCCAAUGCAGAUGUGUCUUAUCCCAGUCCCCCCGCAUGUCAGAAACGAAUUGAGGCCUGCAGCUAACAAGCACAGGGGCUUGGAGGCAUUGUGAUUUGUGGGGUUUUGGUUUUUGUUUUUCUGGGUUUGUUUUUGCUUUAUAUCAUUUGCAUAUCGUUCAGUGACUUUCUGGAGAGAAAGGACCUGGGGUAGAUUGGGCAGCAUCCAUUAUAAAGAGCUACACAUUUCACAUCUGCUAAUUUUCCAUCUUGCCUCUCUUGCAAAAAGACCGUGAUAUUUAUUCACCAAGGAGCUUCGGGAGCAGGAGGACGUUAGCAGGGAAAUCUAUCACAGCAGACUCCUUUGCUCCAGAAAACUUAUCAUCUCUUGGGCCCAUCUGCAUUGUUGGAUGGAAGUUACAGUAGCCCAUUUCCCCCACUAAGUGAUCAUUACACAAAUUUAAAUAAAAAUUAAAAAAAAAAC